AUGGAAAGCUUGCCAGGGGAAUAGGGAGGGGCAGCAUUAUAUAGAGCCUUGAAGGCAAAGAUGAGAAGCAGCAGUAUGCAAUUGUGAUGAUUUGGAGGUUACCCCGUCCCAAAUAGUAAUGCUAACCAUGAGCACACGGAGAAGCUCACUCAGAUAUACCCAGAGAUAUUCGUUGCCUCAGGCUUAGUCCAACCAUCAGUCUCUGGCCCCUUCCUUCAGGAAACUUUUUCUGCACCUGAAAACAGUGACCUUUGUUGACAGCGGGAAGAAGUAACUUCUUGUGAACAUGGGUGUGAGAGGAGGAUAGUGUAAGGGCAGCUGCUUUCUCCUCAACCAUUACUGCAAGGAUGGGACUUUACAAACAGGCAGCCCUUGGACUUAAGACACAAUUGGUUCCUGAAAAUUGCAUCAUAAGUCGAAACGUUGCAACCUGGAACCACAAUCCACUCCAUUGCAGGACCGAGCAUCAUAAAGUCAAAACCAAUUGUCAUCAGUCGAAUCAGGGUGUCAAUUCAGAAAUGUCGACCCAAUUUUUCAGACUUGAACUUGAGAACCAGGAAAAUAAUAGUUCUAAUAUUCAUCCAUGUGGAACCAUAUCAAAUGCCUUACUGAAAUCCAGC